rnacentral:rRNA from 1 species
UACAGGGGGGGCAAGCGUUGUUCGGAAUUACUGGGCGUAAAGGGUCUGUAGGUGGCCAACUAAGUCAGACGUGUAAUCCCUCAGCUUAACUGGGGAACUGCGUCUGAUACUGGAUGGCUCGAGUGUGGGAGAGGAAUGCGGAAUUCCAGGUGUAGCGGUGAAAUGCGUAGAUAUCUGGAGGAACACCGGUGGCGAAGGCGGCAUUCUGGACCAUAACUGACACUGAGAGACGAAAGCCAGGGGAGCAAACGGG